UACGUAGGUCCCGAGCGUUGUCCGGGUUUAUUGGGCGUAAAGCGAGCGCAGGUGGUUUAUUAAGUCUGGUGUAAAAGGCAGUGGCUCAACCAUUGUAUGCAUUGGAGACUGGUAGACCUGAGUGCAGGAGAGGAGAGUGGAAUUCCAUGUGUAGCGGUGAAAUGCGUAGAUAUAUGGAGGAACACCGGUGGCGAAAGCGGCUCUCUGGCCUGUAACUGACACUGAGGCUCGAAAGCGUGGGGAGCAAACAGG
rnacentral:rRNA from 1 species